rnacentral:rRNA from 1 species
GAUGAACGCUGGCGGCGUGCCUAAUACAUGCAAGUCGAGCGAAGCGGGGCCGGGUGAGUAACACGUGGAUAACAUCCUAUAAGACUGGGGUACCUUAGGGAAAAAGGAGCUAAACCGGAUACUUAUACAUGGAUCCGCGCUGCAUUAGCUAGUUGGUAAGGUAACGGCUUACCAAGGCAACGAUGCAUCGCCGACCUGAGAGGUGGAUCGGCCACACUGGACCUGAGACACUGUCCAGACUCCUACGGCAGGCAGCAGGAGGGAAUCUUCCGCAAUGUGCGAAAGCCUGACGGAGCAACGCCGCGUGAGUGAUGAAGGUCUUCGGAUCGUAAAACUCUUUUAUUAGGGAAGCGGUACCGAAUCAGAAAGCCACGGCUAUCUACGUGCCAGCAGCCGCGGUAAUUC